rnacentral:rRNA from 1 species
GACCACGAAAGAACCCUUUUGACCUCAAAUCGGGUGAGACUACCCGCCGAACUUAAGCAUAUCAAUAAGC